UUGGGAUGGAUGGUCUGUCUACAAACUCCUCUGUGUAGUUCACAAGCGCCUCCCGCACAACUUCGUACCCGGUCAGGACCACAACUUUCUGGAACCCAAAGUGGAGGGUGAAGAUGGGGCCGUACUUUUCCGCAAGCUGAAAAAGAGGCGAGCUGUGAUGGUCAGGAAGGGAGGGAGCGUGCAUGCAGCAAGCACCUGUUGCUUUCUGAAAGGACAUAUUCCAUCCUGGCAUCCUGCUGGGAAUGGCUGCAGAGCCGCUACCUGCAGAAUGGCACCCAUGAGCUGGAGCUCAUCCCGGUCAAACACCAGGCAUCCUUGCUGGCAUCCAUAUGGAAUUCAGGCCUCUUAUCAUGAAAGGACCCCCACCCCCAUCAGUUCAUUAUUAAUCUGGUUUUGCUGUAAGGUGGAAAUAAAUUAAAAACAAUAAAACCCACCUAGAGUUAAAGACUGGACCACAAAUGGCAACAAAAGUUGGCAAACCAGAGAAAGAUGAAAAGAGAGAAGACAAUUCAGUACAAAUAAUGAUGCUGUUGCACAGGAAAAUUCUGGUGGCACUCCUGCAUCCCUGCUACUAGACCAGAUAAGCUGUGUAUCUCCUCGGCACUGCACUGGGGACUGUGGGAGGCUUGCUCCUGCCCAUGUCUAGCCCAUCACUGCCUCUGUAUCUUGCUUCCUGGCAACCUGAAAACAGCACUUGGGGACAGCCAAGAAGAGUUUGAGCUGAGCUGAAGCAAGGUGAUGGGAAGCCACAGUCCAAAUCUUCUGCCUAAGAAAACGCAAGGUGUAUGUGUGCAGCCUUAGCCUGUGCUGGGCCACCGGCAGCUUUCGCAGGGAAGAGGGGACACCCAUCAGUGCCCAACCAACACACACCAGUCGGUGCCUGCUGCUCAGUGCAACCACCAUUUUUUGCUCUCUGUGGGGUGAGAUGGAGGGAUAACCCCUCUGGAGUAAUCUCAAAGCAAAGGCAAACACACAGAGUAGCAAGGGACAAAAGCACGCAGAGGUAAUUCCGAACCGCCGUUCAGAGGCUGCAGCAGCAUCUGCCCAGCCCUGCUGGGUAAACUGACCCCAACCCUGACACUGCCCAUAACAACACCAGGUGCUGGAGCCUCACCCCAUGGCAGCACUAACCCCCCGAGGUCUGCUCCCACAACACAGCCCGUGUUUGCUGAGCACCAGUGUGUCGGGAGCCGUGAACCGGCGCUGUCUGUUUGCUCACUCUCUCCGUGACCCUGGCGCGGGUCGGUCCCCGCGGGUGCCGUCUGCUAAAGCCGGGCUCAGCAGCCCACAGAUCCGCCCCGGGCUGUGCCAGCCUCGUCUUGCACCGAAGGACACUUUACCACCCUAAGUGGGUGGUUUUCAGGAGGAAGUUGGAAAUAAACAGCCAAAGGCAUAAGAUCGUUCGGGGAAGAAUGAGCUCUCUUACAUGAUGAGGAAGCGCAAGGUUAAAGGGCACAGCACAAACCAGGUGAGGCAUGGGGUUCAAGGUAAAGCCGACAUCAGCAGUGAGAUCCAGGUCUGACUUAUCCACUCCUGGAGGGGGACGAAAAACAAAUUUGCGGAGCAAGCCCCCAAAAAAGAGGAACAGCUCCAUUUUGGCCAGUCCUUCACCAAGGCAAGCCCUUCGUCCUGAAAACAACCAGGAGAGAAGUUAAUGAUCAGCACUGUAACUGUUAGUGUUGAUCUCUGAGACCUAAACUGGAGAUACAGUCUGUAAGAGCAGACUGCUGAGGCAGCUCUCCUGGUUCAAUGACACGGUUCAUUUCUUCCUGAAUCUUUCCUUGGAGGGAGGAAAGGAUUAAGAAGCUGAUAACAAUCUUACCUUGCAACUGAAAUGACUUCCAGUUUGGCAAAGAUGAAGAAAAGGGAAAACUGUGACUAUUUGGGAAGAGUAGAAGUGGGAAGGUUUGGGAUGAUCUCCUCUUUAUGUGUGCUGAGUGGUAACUUAUGUCACACACAUGGGACAUCAUGACAACCUUUCAACCAGCAGUUUCAGUGGAGCCAUGGAGUAAGUCCAGCACAGCUCACUAUACAGAACCACAGAUGUGUUCUGUACAGGCUGGCUGGCUGAAAACAUUCUUGUUUUCAGGAAGCAAGUUGUGGGAGGCCAGGAGAACAAAUAUGGACAACUUGAUAUCCCCAAAAAAUCUGAAAGGAUUCGGAUCUCCAGGGUUCUCUUUCCCAUUCCGAAAUCCCGCAGUGUGGACAAGAUCACAAAAAUGGAUCUGUAAGAUGGCGAUACCCUCUGCUGUAAGAAGCAUGAUUCAAAAGGGCGUCCUUGAUGGUUUCGUAUCCAGCCAGUACCACGGCUUUCCUGGGUCCAAAAUGCACAGUGAAGACGUUGCCAUAUGUCUUGGAUAGCUGACAAGCCCAGGAUGCCCCUUUUUCUACAAUGAACUGGAGGAUUUCAGUGUCUGCACUGCCCUCUCACUGCAGAUGUUCAAGUGGCUGAAGGAGUGCACUGUGGACUGUCUUUCCUCCAUCACAGUGUCCAGUAAGCACACACAGGGCAUGUGACAAGUCACUCACAGCACCUCAACUGUCUCUACAGCAACCAGAUGAUAUCUGAAUUCACACUGACUUGUCCCCACCUUCCUAUGGGAACACAGCAGACACUUUUGGAAACAAACAUUGCCCCUGGCUUUAUAAUAUUUAAGGGGGUUUUUUUCUUUCUUUUAGAAAUAAAAGUAUCCAUGGAACUGUGUAAGAAAAACCAAAUUUUUUAGCUAGAGAUAUAAAAGCCACAUAUCAAGUCCUUAAUAACCCUGGCCAGUGUGUGUGUGCAGGGGAAUGGCUGGGGAGGCAGAGUUGUGCUUUGCAUUGCAGGGAUAUAAUUAGCUUUGGAAAUGUGUGCAUAGGACCCCCUUCCCUCUGCUGUGGGGAUGAUACCCUUUCUUCCUUCCUUCCUUCCUUCCUUCCAUCCAUCCUUCCUAGAGGUCUGGCUGUAGUGAGACAUCUCUUGAUGGCAAAUAGUACUGAUCUGUCGGCAGACUGGCCCAAAUUGAGUCUUCUGCCUGCAGCCUCUGAAGGGCUUGAAAAACCAACAAUAUGGAGCUGAUUGCAAGGGAUGGGGUCUACACCGAAGUGCAUAGAAAGAAAGGAGUGUGUGUAUUAUAUUUAUACAUAUAAAUACAUGUUUGUGUGUGUACACCUCCGAAGGUAAAGUCAUUCUACCAGUCGGCCUAUAUGCCAGAUAUCUCAUUUCUGCCCUCUACGCAAAGCAAACACAAUUGCAUCUCCAUUUCUCUAGUUGCAUUUCUCACUUUGGGAAUUGCACAUUUUCCCCCUCUCUGCUCAUCCAGCCCCUACCUCUGUCAGCGACUGGAACGGCUUUUUCAGGUCCACCACGUUCAAGUUUCCGAUCAGAGGAAGAGGCCGUGGCCCAGGAGGCAAACUGCAAACCGACUUCUUCAAGCUGGUGAGAAAGUAAAGGAGAGCAAACAGCCCUGCUGCCAAACAGAGCAGUGAGCUGGAGCCCAAAUACUGCAGGAAACUCUGCACGGCCAUGUCCAAAUCCAAGUGUGGGCAUGAGCACCUUGGGGUCUCUUUAUAGCCCUUCUGUCAUUUCCUGAACACACCUUCUGGGGAAGUGGCUUUGUGCAGAGAAAAGGACUCUGUGGUCUUGUUAACAUCCAUUUAGACCACAUGUACUUCAUUAUACUGACAAAUAAACCACCCUAUUUUAUUCUGAACCAUGGAUUAUCGUAAUCAGGAGCUCCUAUUUCAUCUCUAACACUGGGACAAGGUGUUUGUUUUCCAGUGAAAAUCUGUGUUAUGGGCAUGUUGUUGUCUGCAUUAUUUCAGGGGCAGAACUCAAGGACAGGACCCAAGCUGGAUUGCUGCCAUGGUGCCAGGUCACAGGACUCAGCUGGACCACUGGUGAUGCAAUGGAGGAAGCAGGACACAGGAAAGCCCACAGUAACACAUGGCCCAGGGUGCAGCUGGCAAGUAAGCCCUCAGGAAAGACAAGACUGACCAUGGAGGAGUUGGAACAGUGGUUGCAUGAAGAUGUGCUAAUUCAGGAUUGCCAGUGGGAGAAGAUCUAUUUGCAAGUGACAGCUCUGAUUCUCUUUGCAUUCCUGCCACCCCACUGAAACCACCUCCUUGAGCAACACAGUGUUUUCAUUGCUAGCAUUGUUAUUGAUCUCUGUCCCAAAAAUUCUCUACCAGCAAUCCCAAACCACUCCUGAAACCACUUCAGUCAUUAUUUUGCAGUUUACUGUCCAGAGGACUGGGUGUCCAUGUCCGGCUCUGUGUUUGGUGAUGACUCCUUUUGUUUAUGGGCAGAUGCUUGUAAUCCUCUAGGAGAAACCGUCCCCUCCAGGCAAUCCUUCUGCCUAGAUUGGAAAAGAGAUCCCGAACCUUUGUAAUCUGGGAGGAGCCAGGAUCAGAGUGCAGCUGGCCAGGCAGAGGAUGGAGGCUGCCUGGGCAGCUGUUGCAGAGGGGGUGCCAGGCAGGAGCAGUAGUUUUUUGGCCCUCCAGGUGCACUGAGUCAUGCACCAUGCCAGGGCAGGGGCCUGCAAGAGCCUGCGUGCCCAGGAGACAGCUCCCCAAGAGCCACCUACACCCUCUGCAUCCUGGAGGGAUGACAACAAAGCUGAGGUGAUUAUGAACAAGAGGCCACUGUUGAAAUGGUAACUCGGGGGGAAAGAGUCGAUUUGAUGCUCUAUCACAUAUUCUCAAGUGGGGAUAUUUUGUUCCCCAGUUGCAGAUUCUGUCAGAUUACUGGGCUGUGCUGCUAUUCACCCCUUUAGAAAUCUUUAGCUUUAAUAAUACUUUUGAUAGAAUUCUCCAAGGCUCCCGGGUGCAGGCUCCACUGAUGGAAAAAUGAUGAUUACUUAUUAAUAAUAAUAAAAGUACAUUAGCCGAAGGCAAGGGGAAUCAAUAAACUCUAACUAAAUUGACAUGAAAAAGGUGCCUGCACAUCUGCCUGUUCUCCGAGGCUUGUUAUCAGGAGUGGAGUUUUUCACAAGGGGGAACUUUCUUGUGCAGGGUGGGCAAAGAAAAGAGGGCAAUGGAUGGUCGUAUCAGUCUCAAGAUUUUCUGCAAAACUAUGAGGUCUUUUUCUGCACUCUCUUCUCCCAGACAUUUCCAAGAAUAUCAGAGUCUUCUCUGAGAAAAUGGUGUGACCACUGGGACUCCUGACACUCUGUAAUACACAGUAAGAGGGAGGAAAAAACCCUACAUGGGGCCAGUUGGGUACCAGCGGAGGAAAUCUGUUGUUUCUGUUUACGUACACCUCUGUUGGAAUGGAGCUGGCUGCUGCCACAGCAAGCAAGAGCACCUUCCCAAGGGAUUCCAAUUUGUUUCAAGCUUCAGGUUGUACCUGGUUACAAUAUAGGGUGAAACCCUUUCUCAUGAGCCCACGGACUUGCAACCUGCUGGGCUGGUGCAUGCACUGUGGGAAAUAAUGGAGGAGCUCUCCAGCAGGAGGGAAUGAUUGCAGUCUUAAAAUACAGCCAAUCUGAUGCCUUCACCUCCAUUUCUUCCUCAUGUACCUUGGUUUCCAGUACGCAACUCCAAACACAGCUUACAACUGAGUUGCUGGCUUGCAGGUGAGGCAUCCCACACAGGACUGGGGAGAAAACGUUGCUCCCUGCUCACGUGUCUUUGUCUUUCUACCAGCCCAAGCCAGAACUGAUACCAUCUUAAGGUAAGCAGACCUUGUGGGCACAGCUCAGUUCCUCCUAGAAAAUGAGCCUGUACAUUAAACAGCCACAGUAAUUUCUGUGUGCUCAUCUGGAGAAGGUCAUAUCAUCUUCUAAUGGGACACAGGUUAACAAUGCUACAGUAACCGUAGGAUAAUGCAGGGAAAGAGUUGUUAUAAGGCCAUAAUUCAGUCAAUGACUGCUGAUAACAUAAUAAACCAUGAGAGUGAACACCAAGUGCUUGUGUGCCUUGCAAGGCUCUGCCACUGAUUUACAGCCUCUGGAGAUGCCUAUCAGCCCGUGCAUUGUUAUCAGGAAUAUAUAAAGCCUGAGCACACCCUAUUAAACAUUAACAUUUUUAAAGACCCAGAUGUGUUAAAACUCGGCCUGCUCCUCGCUAAUGGAUUUUGCUUGCCUUGACAAAUGCCACUGCAAAAAGAAAUCAAAAGCUUCCCGACUUUGACCUCUUUCAAUUUUUCAUCAUUAUGGCAUUGUUUUAUUGGAUUACACCCACUUCUUCCCACCCUGCCAAUCUGUAUUUCUGCAGGAUCACUACAGGGUGGUGAUCAGUAUCUCAAGUGUUCAGUAUGCUCAUUUUCAUACAAAUAACUUGUUAGUUUCUUUUCACUUAUCUGUCAAAUCAGUGUGGGCUGCAAAUCUACUUUGAGAAGAAAGACUCCUGGAAAAAUAUUUUUUAAAAUCAUUAUUUCACUGCAAAAAAAUUUUUUAAAGACUCAUGGGGGUUUUUUUACAUAUUCUGAGCUAAAAGAAUUUAUGUGAUGGGUCUGGUCACUGGUAGAAGAAAAUAAAAAAAUCUGUGCAUGGGAUUAGUGCAUUGUCCCUGUGCAGAGCCUAAGGUGACAGUAUUUUCCA